rnacentral:lncRNA from 1 species
CAGAGGAAUCGCCGGAGCUCGCUGUUUCGGCCAGUCGGGGCGUCGUCGGCGGCGAGGGAGAGGUGGGGAAGCAUGAGGGAGCUUGUGCGCACUCGAGGGUGGUCUUGGAAGGUCGGGAGAGUGCCCGAGGCGGCCCGGCCACGCGCGUGCAUUGACGGUGAUGGCGGCGGUGGUGCUCCGGCGGUCUCGGCGGCGGACAGAGACGGCGAGUGCGAGCACGAGGUAUAGAAGAUAGAGGCGGAGCUCAUGGUGGUGCUCGUGGGAAGUAUGGGGGCUCGGAACAACGGGAACGCCCGCAGCUCCGACGAGCUCCGAGCUCGCCCAUGGUGGCCAUGGAGGAACACAGAGAGAGUGAGAAAGG